UGUGUGAAUAGGGACCUCAUGAAGAUGUUUCGUGGGUUGCUCCGCCUUAUUUGUUUAAUAACAACGUCAAAAAUCAAGGAAAUAGCCUUACACCGACACCUCUUGUCGGUAAAUCAUUUACGGAAUCCUACCUUUUGCAACCACUACCUCUCUCAGAGAAGGGCUGCUGCGACUUGCGAUAUGGGAGUCAAAGUUCAUAUCACCUAUUGCGGUGGAUGAGGGUACAGGCCCAAGUUCGCCAGACUCAAGACACAGCUUGAGGAUGAAUUCCCAGGUGAUCUUGAGAUUACUGGUGAAAGUACACCUUCAACCUCUGGGUGGUUUGAGGUGGAGGUGAAUGGCAAGUUGGUCCACUCAAAGAAGGAGGGGUCAGGCUUUGUGGACAAUGAGCAGAAAAUGGCAGCAUUGGUUGAUGCCAUUGAUAAGGUGUUGAGGAAAUAAGCUAGUGCUGAUUAUGGAGUCUGUUCUCUGUUUGUCAUCUCCUUGACAUUGCAUAAUGAUGGUGGUGCUCCAAUUGUCAAAGACAUGGGUGCUGCUUGAUGAAACCUGCUCUGCCAGGGAGGUGCCCUACAGAUUGCUUCAAUUCGUACAGUGGCACUGCUUUUGUAAGGUGGUGGGUGAUACAAAGGGAGAAUAUACUGUUUAUUUGUAAUUGAAACAUAACACCUCAAUUGAGCUCCUUACAUUUUCCCAUUGUUUUUACUUUUUUGGCAUGUCCAAUCUUUAAAACAUUUAACAUUGUAUCUAUCGUCCCAAAUGUUGAUGCAACUAUAAAAUGCAAGUUAUUAACAACUUA